rnacentral:rRNA from 1 species
GUAGUCCACGCCCUAAACGAUGUCAACUGGUUGUUGGGGAUAGCUAUCCUUAGUAACGAAGCUAACGCGUGAAGUUGACCGCCUGGGGAGUACGAUCGCAAGAUUAAAACUCAAAGGAAUUGACGGGGACCCGCACAAGCGGUGGAUGAUGUGGAUUAAUUCGAUGCAACGCGAAAAACCUUACCUACCCUUGACAUGUACAUAAUCUGGCCGAGAGGUUGGAGUGCUCGAAAGAGAGAUGUAACACAGGUGCUGCAUGGCUGUCGUCAGCUCGUGUCGUGAGAUGUUGGGUUAAGUCCCGCAACGAGCGCAACCCUUAUCCUUAGUUGCUACGCAAGGGCACUUUAAGGAGACUGCCGGUGACAAACCGGA